UUUUAAUUUUAAUUUUCCAUAUAGAGACUCUUUUAUUCUUGAGAUUUUGUAUCCCUUUUUUGGGGUCUCUUUAGCAUUAAUUGUCAUUUUUUCAUUAUGUGUCUGCCCAGUUACGAAAAAACCUGAGACUAGACAAACGAUAUAGGAGAAUAAUUUGCGCCGACCAAUUAUGCUUAUAUGAACCUUCAAAAGGAGACACAAUUUGCAGAAGUGUAUCCGAAAAUACUAAC
rnacentral:lncRNA from 1 species